GAAGAUCAAGAAAGGCUUCUACACCUAUGAGGAGUCCAAGGAGAGGCCCAAGCCUCAGAUCCCUGUGCUGCACUACAGAGAAGCCUCUCCACCCUACAUCAUCUGUGUCAAGCUGGACAUGACCGGAGGAGUGUUUGAGGAAAACCUGAAGUCUCUCCAUCUGGAAGAAGGAGUUGACUACUACCACUUCAACUAACACUCUGGGAUGGAGAGAUGAAGGGAUGGAGAGAUGAAGGGAUGGAGAGACAGAUGGAGAGAUGGAGAGAUGAAGGGAUGGAGAGACAGAUGGAGAGAUGAAGGA